AUGGAAAUUAUCGCCGUGUUCUACGAUAUGGUGCGUAAAAUUGCCAAAAGUCACAUGGUUUAUUACGGGAGUUUAGACGAAACGGGUGUUAUGAAUAGCUAUUAAAUACGAUUAUAAUAUUACAGAUAAUUAAUUUUAAUGGGUUUGGCAGCGUUUCCGCUCUCUAGGCUUUUCUUUCCACUCAAAAAUGGUGAUAUUUGUGAAAAGGGAAAUUGCCGAAAUUAGAAGGAAAAAGGAAAAUGAACUGUUUUUCUGGCUUAAAUAGCUUUACCUUUAGAAAAAACCCGCUAAAAAAUGGUUAAAGAUAUAUACAUUCCUGAUCAAAAAACACAGAGGACAAAAAAAAAGAAAAAAUUUCGGUAGCAACAGGAGUAAACAGAAGGAGAGAUGCUUUCUAGAGAAAAAAAUUUUGUAGACGUUUGUAGCGUGAACGGUCGGAUCGUCAAAUAAAGGGACAAGAGAAAAUGCUCGUUUCCAAAAAGUGUAGAAUUUAUAAAAUGUGUAUCUCAAAUAGCGGGGUCGCUAUAAUUGAUUAAGUAACUAUUGCUUUUAAGAAGGAAGUAAAGGCUCCUAAAAAAAAUUUUUAUAGUUGUGGUGCGAAUAUUGGGACAAUUAUACGGAAGAAAGCAAUCAGUUUUUAACAAAAAAAGUUUCAGAAUAUUGUGAACACUGGGACUCAUCAUUAUAAAUGGCAAUAACUGAUUGCUAUAAAGAGGAAGUAUUAAAUUUUCUUUCUAGGAAAAAACAAACUUGGCAGAAAAUGACGAUAAAAAGAAAGGAUUGCUAUCCAACACAGAGGCAGCGCUAAAAAACAAUUUAUGUUUUUGUAAAGGCUUCAAGACUGUAGUUCGAAAAUGAAGACAUCUAUUUUAAAGGGAGUGACAACUCCCAAGAAGAGACAGGUUUUGCAAGUUUCCUUUCAGGAUCUUCUGUACUAUUUGGAAGAUUAGACAAAUCAUAGGAUAUUAACCCUACAUAUCCGCUUUCAAGUUCAGAUACGACUUCAGCUGCACCCGGGGCAUGGGAAACAACUGGAUCCUUGUAAUAAUAACAUAUAGGUUGAACUUCAUCAUCACUAUCGGAAUGUUCGUCAAUGUUGUGCAAGCUCUUGGAAGUUAUUUUAAGAGUCGUAAACACGUCGGAACCUUUUAACUUGUCUUUCAUUCGCUUUUGAGCCAGCAAAUUACUAAGUGGUAUAGUUUCAAAAAGAGCGUCCUCUGUCGACAUCUCAUCGGUUAAAUGCAGCACAUAUUUCCAAACAAAGCUUUCGUAGUUUUUGGAUUGAAUCAUGUCGUAGGCUUCGACGCUGUCAUCAAUUUCCACAAGACUUUCUUCUGCGACACUUUCAUCCAUGAACAUUUGAGCAUUAUCAGGAUACUCAGCCUGAUUAACAGAUUUCUUAAAACCAUUGAUGCUAGUCUCAUCGGCGGGUACAGAAUCUACCUUGCGCUUUACAUCAUGUUCUCCAAGGUUACCAUCGCUUUCAUCUGUCGAAUGUUCCUUAGAAUCAAAAAACAUGGUGUUUUCGUUAUUUUUUGUCUUCCGUGCUCUGACUCGUCCUAAUUUCAGUUUUGAUUGUCUUUCAUCAGAUUCCAUUAUGUGUAUAUAAUUUUGAAAUUUGAGACGUUUGUUUCUUUUGUAAACAUUCAUCUUUUGUCUAGUGGGUAAAUACUUCCAAAAUCCGGGUAUAUUGAAUCGGUGAAAUCGUAAAAAUUUGCCUGACAGAACAACGUCUCUAUUCUUGAUAAUAGGUUUUCUAUGAAAGGCAUUGUUAGCCUCUAGUUUCCUAAACCUAGACUCCGCCAAAAAUAUAGAUGUUCCGAUUAAUUCCUUCAACUUGCUUUUAAUGAUUUGUAAUAAAAACUCCGUAGCGCCAGCAGAAAGUGGAUUGCUUGGAAAAGGCGCUUGUCGAUCGAAAUGAUAAAACCGUUCAGAAAUCUUUCUCAUCUCAUUUGUAUCAAAUAAAUCCUCAUUUGAGGUUUUGUUUUUGACACUUUGCGCAUUAUAGUGUGAAGUUUCAACCCCUGAGAUAUUCGAACCCUCAAGAAGUCUUUCCGCAAUUUUUUCUUCCCAAUCAAUCCAAUUCUGACUCAUUUCCAUUGCAAUAGGUAUAUCUUCAUAUUUCAACAAACAUUGACUGCGCACGGAUGCGUCUACGUGAUUACGAAGCCAACGUAGCUCAUUCUCUAAGGCAUUUAUGUAACGCUCGAUCUGCACAGCGCUUUUAGAAGGAAUGGAGUAAGCUAUCAAAUCUAAAUCUCUUUUCCCAUUUCGAGCAACCGCUUGAAAAAACAGUUCUUUUUCUUCUGCACUCCAGUAAGUUCCAUCCACACAAGAGCCACUAAGAACGCCCCAUUGUUCUUCUUCCAAAUCAAAGUCACGCUUAUUUUCAGUCUCAACUUCGUAUUGUUGAAGGACGUCUAGGUAUCGUUCAUCAUGAGUCAUGUACAAUUGCUCACUUGAGCCAAUGAUAGAUGCAGUGCUUAAAGGCGUUGACCCUUCACUCUCAUUUAAUCCGUUUAUUGAAGAAGACAUGUUAUUAUUGAGAACAUGAUCAACGCUAAUGAAAUAAAAGCUGUUGCAGUCUUCUUUUUAAUAUUUUUUUGUUUACCACAUUACCAGACGUGGUUUGUGUUCUGACAAAGAUCAAACUCGGUAUUCUAGUGAAUUUCGCUAAUAUACUAAAAUCCAAAGGAAUAUAUAAAUGUAGAGUAUCUCUAAAAUUUACGGGUUUUAAACAUAAUAAAAAAAUAUAAAUCGUGCUAAAAUCUAG